rnacentral:snoRNA from 1 species
CACCUCUCAGGGUUGCACCUGGAGAGUUUCCAGUCCUCUACCAGUCUCGACUACUGGAGGGAGAGUCAGGCAGAGGCCUACCCAUUCCAUCCUUAGCUUGGCCAGUGGCUAAGGAGUGGAAGGCAAUCUGCUACAAGU